CCUACGGGAGGCAGCAGUGGGGAAUAUUGGACAAUGGGGGCAACCCUGAUCCAGCCAUGCCGCGUGUGUGAAGAAGGCCCUCGGGUUGUAAAGCACUUUCAGUGAGGAAGAACGCCUGGUGGUUAAUACCCAUCAGGAAAGACAUCACUCACAGAAGAAGCACCGGCUAACUCCGUGCCAGCAGCCGCGGUAAUACGGAGGGUGCGAGCGUUAAUCGGAAUUACUGGGCGUAAAGCGCGCGUAGGUGGCUUGAUAAGCCUGUUGUGAAAGCCCCGGGCUCAACCUGGGAACGGCAUCCGGAACUGUCAAGCUAGAGUGCAGGAGAGGAAGGUAGAAUUCCCGGUGUAGCGGUGAAAUGCGUAGAGAGCGGGAGGAAUACCAGUGGCGAAGGCGGCCUUCUGGACUGACACUGACACUGAGGUGCGAAAGCGUGGGUAGCAAACAGGAUUAGAUACCCUUGUAGUC
rnacentral:rRNA from 1 species